rnacentral:rRNA from 1 species
GACGAACGCUGGCGGCGUGCCUAAUACAUGCAAGUCGAGCGAAUGACGAGAAGCUUGCUUCUCUGAUUUAGCGGCGGACGGGUGAGUAACACGUGGGCAACCUGCCCUGCAGAUCGGGAUAACUCAGGGAAACCUGGGCUAAUACCGGAUAAUCCUUCGAAUCACAUGUUUUGAAGUUGAAAGGCGCUUCGGCGUCACUGUAGGAUGGGCUCGCGGUGCAUUAGCUAGUUGGUGGGGUAACGGCCUACCAAGGCAACGAUGCAUAGCCGACCUGGGGGGGUGAUCGGCCACAUUGGGACUGAGACACGGCCCAAACUCCUACGGGAGGCAGCAGUAGGGAAUCUUCCACAAUGGACGAAAGUCUGAUGGAGCAACGCCGCGUGAGUGAUGAAGGUUUUCGGAUCGUAAAACUCUGUUGUAAGGGAAGAACAAGUACGUUAGGAAAUGAACGCACCUUGACGGUACCUUAUUAGAAAGCCACGGCUAACUACGUGCCAGCCGCCGCCGUAA